CGUGAGGGAUGACGGCCUUCGGGUUGUAAACCUCUUUCAGUAGGGAAGAAGCGAAAGUGACGGUACCUGCAGAAGAAGCACCGGCUAACUACGUGCCAGCAGCCGCGGUAAUACGUAGGGUGCGAGCGUUAUCCGGAAUUAUUGGGCGUAAAGAGCUCGUAGGCGGUUUGUCGCGUCUGUCGUGAAAGUCCGGGGCUUAACCCCGGAUCUGCGGUGGGUACGGGCAGACUAGAGUGCAGUAGGGGAGACUGGAAUUCCUGGUGUAGCGGUGGAAUGCGCAGAUAUCAGGAGGAACACCGAUGGCGAAGGCAGGUCUCUGGGCUGUAACUGACGCUGAGGAGCGAAAGCAUGGGGAGCGAACAGGAUUAGAUACCCUGGUAGUCCAUGCCGUAAACGUUGGGCACUAGGUGUGGGGAACAUUCCACGUUUUCCGCGCCGCAGCUAACGCAUUAAGUGCCCCGCCUGGGGAGUACGGCCGCAAGGCUAAAACUCAAAGGAAUUGACGGGGGCCCGCACAAGCGGCGGAGCAUGCGGAUUAAUUCGAUGCAACGCGAAGAACCUUACCAAGGCUUGACAUGUUCUCGAUCGCCGUAGAGAUACGGUUUCCCCUUUGGGGCGGGUUCACAGGUGGUGCAUGGUUGUCGUCAGCUCGUGUCGUGAGAUGUUGGGUUAAGUCCCGCAACGAGCGCAACCCUCGUUCCAUGUUGCCA
rnacentral:rRNA from 1 species